GAUGAACGCUGGCGGCGUGCCUAAUACAUGCAAGUCGAGCGAACGGACGAGAAGCUUGCUUCUCUGAUGUUAGCGGCGGACGGGUGAGUAACACGUGGAUAACCUACCUAUAAGACUGGGAUAACUUCGGGAAACCGUAGCUAAUACCGGAUAAUAUUUUGAACCGCAUGGUUCAAAAGUGAAAGACGGUCUUGCUGGCACUUAUAGAUGGAUCCGCGCUGCUUUAGCUGGUUGGUAAGGUAACGGCUUACCAAGGCAACGAUGCAUAGCCGACCUGAGAGGCUGAUCGGCCACACUGGAGCUGGGACACGGUCCAGACUCCUACGGGAGGCAGCAGUAGGCAAUCUUCCGCAAUGGGCGAAAGCCUGACGGAGCAGCGCCGCGUGAGUGGUGAAGGUCUUGGGAUCGUAAAACUCUGUUAUUAGGGAAGAACAUAUGUGUAAGUAACUGUGCACAUCUUGACGGUACCUAAUAAGAAAGCCACGGCUAACUACGUG
rnacentral:rRNA from 1 species